AUUGAACGCUGGCGGCAGGCCUAACACAUGCAAGUCGAACGAGUGGCGGACGGGUGAGUAAUGUCUGGGAAACCGCCCGAUGGAGGGGGAUAACUACUGGAUACGGUAGCUAUUACCGCAUACCAUCGGAUGUGCCCCGAUGGGAUUGGCUAGUUGGUGGGGUAAAGGCUCACCUGGGCGACGCUCCCUAGCUGGUCUGAGAGGAUGACCAGCCACACUGGAACUGAGACACGGUCCAGACUCCUACGGGAGGCAGCAGUGGGGAAUAUUGCACAAUGGGGGCAAACCUGAUGCAGCCAUGCCGCGUGUGUGAAGAAGGCCUUCGGGUUGUAAAGGACUUUCAGCGGGGAGGCGUUACCCGCAGAAGAAGCACCGGCUAACUCCGUGCCAGCAGCCGCGGUAAUAC
rnacentral:rRNA from 1 species